rnacentral:rRNA from 1 species
AUGUGACGAGUUUGAUCAUGGCUCAGAACAACGCUGGCGGCAUGCCUAACACAUGCAAGUCGAACGAGACUUCGGUCUAGUGGCGGACGGGUGAGUAACGCGUAGGAACCUGCCAAGCAGUGGGGAAUAACAGCUGGAAACGGCUGCUAAUACCGCAUACGCCCUUCGGGGGAAAGAUUUAUCGCUGUUUGAGGGUCCUGCGUUCGAUUAGCUAGUUGGUGAGGUAACGGCCCACCAAGGCGACGAUCGAUAGCUGGUCUGAGAGGAUGAUCAGCCACACUGGGACUGAGACACGGCCCAGACUCCUACGGGAGGCAGCAGUGGGGAAUAUUGGACAAUGGGGGAAACCCUGAUCCAGCAAUGCCGCGUGCGUGAAGAAGGCCUUAGGGUUGUAAAGCGCUUUCACCUGUGAUGAUGAUGACAGUAACAGGAGAAGAAGCCCCGGCUAACUCCGUG